GAUUGAUCCUGUCUUUAUAAUUGAUUAUUUUUAUGAAUUAAUUUUUAGAUGAUAUUAGAUGUUAGUUUUUGCGUGUUAUUUAUUUGUUUUCUUAAAGAUUCUUAUGGAUUGUUUUAUUUAUAGUUUUUAAUUUUGAAUUAUCAAAUAAUUUUGAUUUCAGUUAAUUUAUUUUAGGAUUGUUAAAAGUUGUGCCAGCAAACGCGGUUAUACAAUUGAUUCAAGUUAAUUUUUUUGGUUAUUUAUUUAUUAUUCUUAUUUGAGGAUUUGAGUUUGUUUAUUAGGUGAAAUUUUUAAUUUAAUUUAUAUUCUUUAGGUUAUUAGAUUAUAAUAAGGUUAGACAUAAAACUAGGAUUAGAUACCCUAUUAUUCUAAUUGUAAAAAGUUACCCAUAGUAUUAGUAGUUAAGGUCUUUAAAUUAAAAGGAUUUGGCGGUAGUUUAGUCUUUUCAGAGGAACCUGUUCUGUAAUUGAUGAUA
rnacentral:rRNA from 1 species